UUUCCGUAGGUGAACCUGCGGAAGGAUCAUUAGUGAAUAUUAGGGCGUCUACUUCGGUAGGGCCUGACCUCCACUUUCUAACUCUGUGCACUUAUUUGGCGGAAAAGGGUAUUAAUAACCUGACUAAUGACGAUUGCGACUGCUUACUUACUGCAGCUUACUAUAAACACUAGUCUAAGUAUGUGACGAAAUAUCGAAACAAAUAAAAACUUUCAACAACGGAUCUCUUGGCUCUC
rnacentral:misc_RNA from 1 species